rnacentral:rRNA from 1 species
UACGGAGGGUGCAAGCGUUGCUCGGAAUUAUUGGGCGUAAAGAGCUUGUAGGCGGUUUGUCGCGUCUGCCGUGAAAAUUCGAGGCUCAACCUCGAACUUGCGGUGGGUACGGGCAGACUAGAGUGUGGUAGGGGAGACUGGAAUUCCUGGUGUAGCGGUGAAAUGCGCAGAUAUCAGGAGGAACACCGAUGGCGAAGGCAGGUCUCUGGGCCACUACUGACGCUGAGAAGCGAAAGCAUGGGGAGCGAACAGG